ACCGCAUUAUCUUCUUUUCUCUUCCUUUUUCACCGAGCAAGCAGAGCAGCCAAUUCUUCUUCUUCUUCUAUUCCUUCUUGAUGAGAUUCGUUUGAACAUCUUGGUUAGAAAUCGACAAUUUCUUUUACAAGCCAUUAGAAGGUGGACCAGCUAAAAAAUUACCUAAGUUUGAAAAACCAUUGGAUACUUCAUCGUCUGUUUUGUAUAUUGGUUUCUAUGAAAAGGAAAUGGAAGGGGAUCCCGUGGUCUCUACUUGACCAGCUUUGAUAUUCUGGGAGCUCAGCAUAUUAUUAUGAAUAUGGCAACCACCUUUCUGGCGGAAUCCCUUAUCCACCAAUGCAUUUGUCCGGUGGACCUUCACCAUAUUCCAGCGGAUCUGUGAUGGGACAAGGUACAACCCCUUUUCUUUCCUCUUCCUGUCAUGCUAAAAGCAAUGCUUUAUUUAGGAUUAGUCAUCUCUUUGCUGAAAAUUUCACCACUACAAUUUAAUUUUUGUUUAUAGACUAUCGUUGUCACUUCUAUUGUUCGUCAACUCAUUGUUGUCAUUGCCAAAUAUGGUGUGGUGAUGGUGCAUGUAGUAAUAAUCCCAGAUAUUUUAUAAAUUUCGGCACCAUGCCCAUAUUAUUCAACUAAUAUAA